rnacentral:rRNA from 2 species
UACGGGAGGCAGCAGUGGGGAAUUUUGGACAAUGGGCGCAAGCCUGAUCCAGCAAUGCCGCGUGCAGGAAGAAGGCCUUCGGGUUGUAAACUGCUUUUGUACGGAACGAAACGGCUCUGGCUAAUACCUGGGGCUAAUGACGGUACCGUAAGAAUAAGCACCGGCUAACUACGUGCCAGCAGCCGCGGUAAUACGUAGGGUGCAAGCGUUAAUCGGAAUUACUGGGCGUAAAGCGUGCGCAGGCGGUUGUGUAAGACAGGCGUGAAAUCCCCGGGCUUAACCUGGGAAUGGCGCUUGUGACUGCACAGCUGGAGUGCGGCAGAGGGGGAUGGAAUUCCGCGUGUAGCAGUGAAAUGCGUAGAUAUGCGGAGGAACACCGAUGGCGAAGGCAAUCCCCUGGGCCUGCACUGACGCUCAUGCACGAAAGCGUGGGGAGCAAACAGGAUUAGAUACCCUGGUAGUCCACGCCCUAAACGAUGUCAACUGGUUGUUGGGUCUCUUCUGACUCAGUAACGAAGCUAACGCGUGAAGUUGACCGCCUGGGGAGUACGGCCGCAAGGUUGAAACUCAAA